rnacentral:lncRNA from 1 species
AUGUCAGCAGUUAAAAACACGUUGUCACAGUGGAUUCUGCACCCUGCCCUGGUAAGUCAGGGUCCAGUAAUCUUUGGUUCUCUUUUGUUGAAGGGUUAUGGGCAGUGGUUCGGCCUCAUCUGUCCUUCAUGUAUUCAUGAGCACAAGCGUGGUCUUUUGCAGCGGUCCAAAAGUGUAGAGCCUGUGUGGACAAUACAUCUGAAGAGCUACAAUUUUACUAAUUUAGUAUGCAGUCAACAGAAAAAUACUAUCAAGCAACUGAACAAAUGUUAUUUCUCCAAAGCACAGAAGAACCAGUUAACUUUUCCCUUUACAAAAGAAGUGAAGAUAAGCUUGUUUUUAAAGGCAAGAAAAUAAGCUUAUAGCACAUGAAUGUAUGGGCAAAUACCAACAGUGCAAUGCAACGACCAACAUUAGACAUAAACAUGAAUCAGAAUAUGUUGACAAUUUUGUUUUUUGAAAAAAUUACUCUGGAAUGGUCAAUAUGGUUAAUACUAAUACAGUUCUUGAGGGCCAGAGAGUCUGUAUCCCCGGCUGCCGCAGGAAUUAAUCCAACAGAGAUGGCUGAGGUAAACAUCACUGGGAUGUCCUGACAGUCAGCAGCAUAAGCCAGUCCUGUAAUGGUGCGAUGGCGAGCUCGAAAAAGCUGAACGUUUCCUGAGAACAGCACCUGGGACUUCCUUCUCUGAGCUCCCUGAGGCAUGUGGUACCUGCCUCGUGGCUCCCGGCUCAUUUCGCUCUGUGGUUCAGUGUGUCAGAAAGAUUGCACUCCUUUAGCACCCCAAAGCUUUUUAGCUUUGUACAAAGGCUGUUGUGGCCGAACAAUGUUCUUCAGUCCUUUACAGCUACGUGAAGGUCUGUGGCUUCCUUAGAAAGCAGAUAAUCCAAUAGAGUCAUGUCAGGAAUCCCCAACAGUGACGAUGUGGCUGCUCCUGCUGGUGCUCUUUUGCCAUUAUAACUUACCAGCCUGAACAAAAUACGAAAUGUUUUAACAAAACGCCUUGUUUUUGUGUGGUUCACUAUAUUUGCAGAGGGGUUGCAUGCGUAUCUUUACAGACAUAGCUAACAUCCUCUUGUACAGUUAAUUUUUAAUGGCCCUGUAAAUGACUAUACAAGAGAAAUUCUAAAUGUAAAUUUUGGUGGCUUUUACUAUAAAUUUACUAAUCUAAUGCCAUACAACUGAGUGUCUGAAGUGAAAGUCUUUGCUCGAAACCUGAGAACUCUACACCUCACUCUUCAUAUCUGCCAGUUGAGAAGCUUCUGUGCAUUUCUCUCAUUCUUUUUCAGGGGGAAAAUUCACUUCCUCGAAAGUUUCAGCUUGCCGUUGGUCAAGUACCAUGAGAUUUGAGUCUGCUAC